AAUGGGGGGAACCCUGAUCCAGCCAUGCCGCGUGUGUGAAGAAGGCCUUUUGGUUGUAAAGCACUUUAAGUGGGGAGGAGGCUUACCUGGUUAAUACCUGGGCUAAGUGGACGUUACCCACAGAAUAAGCACCGGCUAACUCUGUGCCAGCAGCCGCGGUAAUACAGAGGGUGCGAGCGUUAAUCGGAUUUACUGGGCGUAAAGCGCGCGUAGGUGGUUAAUUAAGUCAAAUGUGAAAUCCCCGAGCUUAACUUGGGAAUUGCAUUCGAUACUGGUUAGCUAGAGUAUGGGAGAGGAUGGUAGAAUUCCAGGUGUAGCGGUGAAAUGCGUAGAGAUCUGGAGGAAUACCGAUGGCGAAGGCAGCCAUCUGGCCUAAUACUGACACUGAGGUGCGAAAGCAUGGGGAGCAAACAGGAUUAGAUACCCUGGUAGUCCAUGCCGUAAACGAUGUCUACUAGCCGUUGGGGGAUUUGAUCCUUUAGUGGCGCAGCUAACGCGAUAAGUAGACCGCCUG
rnacentral:rRNA from 1 species